rnacentral:rRNA from 1 species
GAUGAACGCUGGCGGCGUGCCUAAUACAUGCAAGUCGAGCGAACAGACGAGGAGCUUGCUCCUUUGACGUUAGCGGCGGACGGGUGAGUAACACGUGGGUAACCUACCUAUAAGACUGGGAUAACUUCGGGAAACCGGAGCUAAUACCGGAUAAUAUUUCGAACCGCUUGGUUCGAUAGUGAAAGAUGGCUUUGCUAUCACUUAUAGAUGGACCUGCGCCGUAUUAGCUAGUUGGUAAGGUAACGGCUUACCAAGGCAACGAUACGUAGCCGACCUGAGAGGGUGAUCGGCCACACUGGAACUGAGACACGGUCCAGACUCCGACGGGAGGCAGCAGUAGGGAAUCUUCCGCAAUGGGCGAAAGCCUGACGGAGCAACGCCGCGUGAGUGAUGAAGGUCUUCGGAUCGUAAAACUCUGUUAUUAGGGAAGAACAAACGUGUAAGUAACUGUGCACGUCUUGACGGUACCUAAUCAGAAAGCCACGGCUAACUACGUG